rnacentral:rRNA from 1 species
GAUGAACGCUGGCGGCGUGCCUAAUACAUGCAAGUCGAGCGAAAAGACCAGGAGCUUGCUCCUCUGACGUUUGCGGCGGACGGGUGAGUAACACGUGGAUAACCUACCUAUAAGACUGGGAUAAUUUCGGGACACCGGAGCUAAUACCGGAUAAUAUACUGAACCGCAUGGUUCAAUAGUGAAAGACGGUUUUGCUGUCACUUAUAGAUGGUUCCGCGCCGCAUUAGCUAGUUGGUAAGGUAAAGGCUUAUCAAGGCAACGAUGCGUAGGCGACCUGAGAGGGGGAUCGGCCGCACUAGAACUGGACCAGCGACCAGAGGCCUACGAGAGGCAGCAGUAGGGAAUCGGCCGCAGUAGGCGGAAGCCUUACGGAGCGGCGCCACGUGAGAUGUAAAAAUCUUCGGAUCGUAAAACUCUGUUAUGAGUGAAAAACAAAUGUGUAAGUAACUAUGCACUUCUUGACGGUACCUAAUCAGAAAGCCACGGCUAACUACGUG